AGACCACCACAAGGGGGAGUUAGAGCACUCAUUAUGCAUUUGGGUCCCAAGGUUUCUAUAUGAACAAUCAUAUCGAGUGGUUCCAAUGAUGAAUUUUGACGCGAGCCACCCUUGCCUUCAUGGCGUGCUUCAACAAAGAUGGCUGACAAAGCAUUAUGGUGGAGCCAGAUGCAAACCCAUCAUAGACAACAACACAGAUGCCAUCUAUGGGAGCAGAAAGACCAUCUGUGUGAUCAGCCGCUGCUACCGGAGAGUGAGUGGUGCUCCAGAGAGAUCCAGGUGGCCAGAUAGCGGCGAUAAUUGUUUCUCCUGCGGUUGGAAACCUAGGAAGCACUUUUCCCUGGGAGGAAAUGGAAACCAGUGGCUAUAACAUGUCAGCGGUGGUGUUUGGAGGAAUAAUAUACAUUAGGGUUAUGAGGGUUUAUAGCCACACACACGUCUGGUUUAUCCUGAGAGUCAAACAGAAGAGGGUUCAUGGCAGACCACCCCGAUAGCAUAGCAAACUGUGGCACAAAAAAGUGUGUGUGUGCAGUCUGCAUGUGCUGUAUUCCUUUGUUCAUAGUGCAAAGACAAGCUAGGCAUUUAAUCAAAGACACACACGCCAACCCGAAAAUGGACAAGUUUAAUAACCAAGAAGACACACAGAAAGCCACUUGACAAAAAGGGAGGGAGUACAAUGCAAAUUAUAAUGUGAGAUCUGGAAAAUAUGCCAUUUUUUUUCCCACCAAUGGUGUUUCCACCAAAUGGACUUGUUGCAGAUAAAAAUCUGUGCGUGAUGAUGCAAUGCACACAAUGUACUUAAUUUUUUUUUUUUAAUUACGUUUUCAUGAAC